UGCGAAUGCUAAGGCUAUCACAGCGGAGCCAAACCGCUUAAGUGACGCAGUAAAUCAAGAAAUCGGUAGUCCUUUUGCUGAUGUCAGAUGUUGAGACGAAGUUUACUGGUUCCUCACCAGUUAAAAAAGCGAGAGAAACCUUUGUACUCACUUCUGACUGCAAUUUACACAGGUAAAAAAAUUGGGAACAAGUACCGAUGAAAGGACCGUCGGUGCUUGUUU
ncrna:unclassified sequences FuFi-1 RNA